GCAGCAGCCGCGGUAAUACGUAGGUGGCAAGCGUUGUCCGGAAUUAUUGGGCGUAAAGCGCGCGCAGGCGGAUCAGUCAGUCUGUCUUAAAAGUUCGGGGCUUAACCCCGCGAUGGGAUGGAAACUGCUGAUCUAGAGUAUCGGAGAGGAAAGUGGAAUUCCUAGUGUAGCGGUGAAAUGCGUAGAUAUUAGGAAGAACACCAGUGGCGAAGGCGACUUUCUGGACGAAAACUGACGCUGAGGCGCGAAAGCCAGGGGAGCGAACGGGAUUAGAUACCCCAGUAGUCCCUGUCUCUUAUACA
rnacentral:rRNA from 1 species